AGUGGCCUAGUGGUUGAGACGUCCGCCUGGUAUCCCAGGGGUCGUCGGUUCAAGCCCGG
rnacentral:tRNA from 1 species